rnacentral:rRNA from 1 species
UACGUAGGGGGCGAGCGUUGUCCGGAAUCAUUGGGCGUAAAGCGCGUGUAGGCGGCCCGGUAAGUCCGCUGUGAAAGUCCAGGGCUCAACCCUGGGAUGCCGGUGGAUACUGUCGGGCUCGAGUCCGGAAGAGGCGAGUGGAAUUCCUGGUGUAGCGGUGAAAUGCGCAGAUAUCAGGAGGAACACCGAUGGCGAAGGCAGAUCUCUGGGCCGUAACUGACGCUGAGGAGCGAAAGCAUGGGGAGCGAACAGG